CCUUCUGCAGAUGUGUCUUCCAUCUCCCACAGGAAUAAGCUGUUCUGUGUCGUCUCCUGACACACUUUCAGGAUUUCCCAACUUGGCAGCUACCAUGAUACUUCACAGUUUUAGGAAGAUCUCUGAGAAUUUCCUCUUUGUUAAAAUGGAGCCAAGAAGGGGCUGUGAGGAUCAUGGAGAGCAGCCUAUGCACUCCUAUGGCAAGGUCCCUCUGGGAAUCUUCAGGUGAUACUCUCUGGCUCUGAGGACCAAUCACAUUUGAUCAUGGAAGUCAUACAGAAACCAUACACUGGACCAGCAAGAUGGCUCAGCAGGUUAGGAUGUAAACUCUCAGCUCCUACUCCAGUGUCAUGUCUGUCUGCCUGCUGCCAAGCCCCCCACUCCCCAAAAGAGUCAUGGAUCCAACCUCUGAAACUG